GAUAAGCGUACAAUAAAGUUCAAUAAUACAGUUUAAAACAAUUUUUUUAUUUAUAAAUGUUGUAUGAGAAAAUAAACUUUAUUUUUGUGAGUAAUUAAAAUAAAACUUUUAUUCUCGCUUAAUUCAUUUCAACAUUCUUAUAGAGUUUUAAAAAAGUAAAAUAAUCAAUUGGGUUUUAUUCGACUUGGGUAUCUUAUUAUUUUUUAAAAAUAAAUUAGUUGAAACGGCUUUUCUAAGAACAAUAUAUUUUAUGUCAUUUCAGAUAAAGAAGUUUAUUCGGAUUUCAAAAGAGAUCUGGUCUAGAUUUCGCAGAAAAACUUUACGAAAUGGAACUUUACGGGCCAAGGACUAUAAUUGAUCUUAAUUGAUGAGUCAACUCAUUAUACCACUGAAUCCCCUCCGUGUCGUUUAUGACGGCCUAGGUUCUCCUCUUUGCGCCAAGGUCGCUAUAAAUUUUUAAGGAAACACUCCCAAGGAAACUAAACCCAUGCAUUACCGUCAUAACAAGCUGUCAGAUAAUAACGAGUCUUAUGAAUAAAGUGGAGCAACGAGCUUCUUCUUCGCAGUUCCGCUUCGAUAAAUAGAGACGAAAAACGCGAGAACCUUAGAGUGAUUGUUUGUGUUUCAAAUUAAAACUUCUGCGCGGGUCGCAAAAAUACUGUGGAGAGAUUCUUACUGGAUCAAAAUGUGCAACAAGUUAAAUCACCGACAAUAUUCGAACUUCAUUCUCAAAUAUUGAAAAGGAAAUAACUGUCUACGCAUUCGGUUCUUUUGAACUAUCGCGACUCUAUCCGGGUUGCAAAAGCGACGGGUGAGGAAUUGCUGACGAUGAAAGGACGAGAAUCAACAAGGAAGAAUGGAAACGGAGAGAGAAAAGCCCCUGGGUUAAAAAAAAAAUAGAUAAAAAAUUUAUACGGCACACGGAAUAGUGAGAAAUGCGAAAAAGAAAAAAAGGUGAUGUUGCGAAAAAUACGAGAAAGGAUCACUAUCCUGUAGCGGACAAUACACGAAUAAUUAAUAAAGGAACUAGCAGAAAAUCGAUAGUGGAAAGUUGCAAGGAAAUUGAAAACAAUUUAGUACCAAGUAGAUUUAUGAAGUUCUUAAAUGAUUUAUUAUUUGGACAAUUAGUCGUAACGAGAUUCAAAAGAAAAACAGAACAUACCAUUUGUGUAUGAAGAAACUCUUACUUCUAUCCCUUCGUACACACCUAAUUUUUUGGCACUUUUUCUACAAACAAUUGGAUUGCAAUACUCCUGAUUUAAUUUUUAUUAUUUUCAGAAGUAUAAAAAAAUUCUUUAAUGAUUCUUAUAUACCUUACUACGUCUAGAUCUAGAAAUUAUUUUUGAUUGUUUAACCUGAAGCAGUCACUUCAACGUUAGAAAAAUGAAACUUAUAUUACAGCAAAUUUUUUUUAUUGAUCUAAGAUCUAUAUCUUUCAUUUGAAGAUUUUGAGACCCAAUUUAUACACAAUAGAAAUACGUUAUAACUCAUAUUUCCUUGAAGCCGAUCUAUUAAAAUUAGUUGGAUGUAGAAACCAUUCCACAUUAUCGUUUUUAUUAUUAAUUCAAUGUAGUAUAAUAAAAGUUUAUAUUAGAAAUUCGAAACAAUAACAUGAAUUUUAAAAAGAGAUUUUUGAGUUGAAACAGUAUUGUAAGCUAUUAAUCUUUACGUUUACACAACACAAAAUGUUUAUACUAUGUUCUAGCUUUUUAUAAGAUGUAUGCCAAGUUAAUAACUGUUUCUUCUUAAUAUAUGUUACUCUAACCCAUUCAUUUUGAAGUAAUGAAUCUAUGUAACUUCGUAUUAAAUUUGUAACGUUCUUAAUUUAAUAGGUGUAUGCCAAAUAUAUAUUUGCAUAAAUA